CCUAAGCGAUAAUUGGUGCUUGGUCGGAAAUUGCUCCUGCAUUUUCGACAUUCGGUACAUCCGUGUACCUUUUGAGUGUUCACACAGAUUGCUUGAUAAAAGAAGUAGAGCAUGGGGGUCUGUAGCUCAGGUGGUUAGAGCGUUCGCCUGAUAAGCGAGAGGUCGGUAGUUCGAGUCUACUCAGACCCACCAAUUCUUCCGCUAUUCUGCGUUAAACAGGUCGUCGUUUACUCCAGUAAACUUCCUCCCUGUUUGCCUCGACUGGUGUCGAAGAAGUGAACAGGUCAAUGUUCAAGACUGUUUGCGAGAGAUUUUAUUGAGUUCGAGGCAGCCGAGCGAAGAGGCGAAGGCUAACAACGAAAUCGGUAAAAAGAACCGCAAAGAAACGGGGCUAUAGCUCAGCUGGGAGAGCGCCUGCCUUGCACGCAGGAGGUCUGCGGUUCGAUCCCGCAUAGCUCCACCACUUCCCUUGGAAGUGCUGGAACCGUCACUCUACAAAAGACGAGAGACGCCAAAGAUAAGUCAGUAUUUAUCUUUGGCUUUUUUAAGCCCGCUCUUUAACAAUUUGGAAAGCUGAUAGUAGACAUCAAAACCUCUCUUCGGAGUGGAUUUGAUUCAUACAAAUUGAGUUCUCAAACACUUCAAUCAAGUGUUUUGGAAAUUCUUCAAGGCGAGUCCACUUCCUUAACCCGGAGGUGAGACAAGUAAACCUAAGCUGGUUGCAAUACAACCCGUGUUUUCCGCUAUGUUACCGAUAAGGUAGCGCAGUCAGGCGACAUGGUGUCUAAGCGGUGAUUUGAGUGAGGAAGGAGUGUAGCAGCGCUACAUGACUGACGAAUGAAAAGCACAAUAACGACAACAUGAGUACUGACAAGCGAGAUGAAAACUCAUCCGGGUUGUAU
rnacentral:misc_RNA from 1 species